UUUCAAUCUGUGUAGGACUGAUAAAGUGAAUGUGGGUAUCAUUCCCUCCGGCAGUAACAAUAAGUCCCUCUCCGGCAAUUGCCUCGGUUGAUGCACCAAAAACGAGUGAGGGGGUAACGCCGUCCAUGAUAUCGGGAUUUCCUGAUUUUCCGAUACCGCAUAUUUUUCCGUCCUUUAUGCCGAUAUCCGCUUUAUAUAUGCCGGUGUAAUCUAUAAUAAGUGCAUUGGUAAUAACUGUGUCAGGGCAUUCGCUGUCCGGUACGCUGCAUGACUGUCCCAUUCCGUCACG
rnacentral:sRNA from 1 species